AUCUCGGGCUCCUGAUCCGGUUCAACCACAAUAUCUUGUGGUUGUGACAACAGGGAACCCGGUGUGAAUCCGGGACUGUCGCGCAGCGGUAUCGGGGAACGAGGGUCACAUGCAGGCACUAUCCGUCAGGAUGGGAAGCCGUGAUCCAAGGUGAAGCGUCCAGAUUUUCCAGUGGAUGCUUCGUGCCCCCAAGUCCGAAUACCUGCCGGAAGGGCAUCUGUUUG
rnacentral:ncRNA from 2 species